AUCGCUUCUCAGCCUUUUGGCUAAGAUCAAGUGAAGAAUGGACAAGCUUACUUACUAGGUAGUAAGGAAUUUCAUGAGUUAUUAAUUAAGAUACCUUAAAAGCAGUAAUAAAAUGCUUCAUUCUAUAGUAUCUGCUAAGUGCCU
rnacentral:snRNA from 1 species